AUUGAACGCUGGCGGCAGGCCUAACACAUGCAAGUCGAGCGGAUGAAGGGAGCUUGCUCCUGGAUUCAGCGGCGGACGGGUGAGUAAUGCCUAGGAAUCUGCCUGGUAGUGGGGGAUAACGUCCGGAAACGGGCGCUAAUACCGCAUACGUCCUGCGGGAGAAAGUGGGGGAUCUUCGGACCUCACGCUAUCAGAUGAGCCUAGGUCUGAUUAGCUAGUUGGUGGGGUCAAGGCCUACCACGGCGACGAUCCGUAACUGGUCUGAGAGGAUGAUCAGUCACACUUGAACUGAGACACGGUCCAGACUCCUACGGGAGGCAGCAGUGGGGAAAAUUGAUCGAUGGGCGAAAGCCUGGUCCAGCCAUGCCGCGUGUGUGAAGAAGGUCUUCAGAUUGUAAAGCCCGUUAAGUUGGGAGGAAGAGCAGUAAGUUAAUACCUUGCUGUUUUGACGUUACCAACAGAAUAAGCACCGGCUAACUUCGUG
rnacentral:rRNA from 1 species